rnacentral:lncRNA from 1 species
AUGUCAUCCGCCUCGGUCCCCACCCCCGGGCGCCCCCUCCCUCAUCCGUCUUGGGACGCUCGCUGGGUCUCCCCCAAGUCCCCUGCGGAGUCGAGGGCAGAGCCGGCAGCACCCCGCGCCCGAAACCCCACAGCUCCCCGGCCGCAGUUAGGGGCACGGGGCGGGGGUCUCCGCAUCGGCCGCCAACGCCCCCUUACCUCGAGCUGGCCCUCCCCGCAGGUCCCGGAGGCGGGGGCGAUCAGUGGCCCCGCGGGCGAGCGCGGGGCUGGGUUUUCCUCCGCCCGGGAGGAAGAGGAGGAGGAGAGGAGGAGGAGGAGAGGAGGAGGAGGAGAGGCAAGGCUUUGUGUCUGCCUCCCGCCCUCCCCUGGGCCGCGGCGAUCGCUCAUCCGCCCUCCCCUCAACCGCCUCUCCGGAGCUCGUCCAAGGCCUGGGCGGGGGCGAUCCGGGCCGGGAGGUGGCGACCAAGGGCGCCUGCGCAGCCCCGGAUCCGGGCCGCCCCCAGCCCCUGGCACCGCCCACCCUCGCCCCUGCAGACGUCCACCUGCUGGGCUGCGCCUCCAGAAAGUUUAUCUAACCCGAGUAACUCUGCCGGCCCGCCCCGCUCGGCGCCACCGCCCGCGUCUGCGCGCUCCGCGGCGGGCCCCCGCGUUCGCUCCUAGCGUGUUCUGCCCUUCCUGCUCCCUUCUUCACCACGCACGCUCCCGCACCCCCUUCCCACCGCCCCGAAGGGGCUCCGCCGGCUGGAGGAUCCUCCUCGGCCCCAGGCGUGGAUCCCCACGCGCUCUGGAAGCCUGGGCGGCCGCCUGCCUACACGCGGGUGCCGGGCCCCGAGCCUGCAGGCAGCGGGGAGAGCUCGGAGGGUCCCUAGUGGUCGGCUUUCCACGAGGGCCAGUUCCACUGAGCAGUGGCCAAUGGCACAGAGGGACCCUCAUUUUGGACAGAAGCAGGACACUGAAACAAACGCGCAAAGCCCGCAGAGCCCUUACCACUGCGCUUGGGAUUCAGGGGUGUCCGGUUCUCCCAGUCCUGCCCUUAUCAGGUCCCAGGGCUAUUGAGUCCUCGGCUCAGCUCUCAGGGGAAGCAGCCCUGUUCCAAGUCACCCAUGCAGUAAAUUAUUGA